rnacentral:rRNA from 1 species
AUUGAACGCUGGCGGCAUGCCUUACACAUGCAAGUCGAACGGUAACGGGCCUUCGGGUGCCGACGAGUGGCGAACGGGUGAGUAAUGCAUCGGAACGUACCUUUCAGUGGGGGAUAACGUAGCGAAGUUACGCUAAUACCGCAUAUUCUGUGAGCAGGAAAGCAGGGGAUCGCAAGACCUUGCGCUGAUUGAGCGGCCGAUGUCAGAUUAGCUAGUUGGUGAGGUAAAGGCUCACCAAGGCGACGAUCUGUAGCGGGUCUGAGAGGAUGAUCCGCCACACUGGAACUGAGACACGGUCCAGACUCCUACGGGAGGCAGCAGUGGGGGAAUUUCGGACAAUGGGGGCGAACCCUGAUCCAGCCAUGCCGCGUGAGUGAAGAAGGCCUCGGUUGUAA